rnacentral:rRNA from 2 species
AACGAACGCUGGCGGCAUGCUUAACACAUGCAAGUCGAACGAUCCCUUCGGGGAUAGUGGCGGACGGGUGAGUAACGCGUGGGAACCUGCCCCGAGGUACGGAAUAACUCAUGGAAACGUGAGCUAAUACCGUAUGUGACCUGAGGGUGAAAGAUUUAUCGCCUUGGGAGGGGCCCGCGUCGGAUUAGGUAGUUGGUGGGGUAACGGCCUACCAAGCCUGCGAUCCGUAGCUGGUCUGAGAGGAUGAUCAGCCACACUGGAACUUAGACACGGUCCAGACUCCUACGGGAGGCAGCAGUGGGGAAUAUUGGACAAUGGGGGCAACCCUGAUCCAGCAAUGCCGCGUGCGUGAUGAAGGCCUUAGGGUUGUAAAGCGCUUUCGGCGGGGAAGAUGAUGACGGUACCCGCAGAAGAAGCCCCGGCUAACUCCGUGCCAGCAGCCGCGGUAAUACGGAGGGGGCUAGCGUUGUUCGGAAUUACUGGGCGUAAAGGGCGCGUAGGCGGCGAUUUAAGUUAGGCGUGAAAGCCCCGGGCUUAACCUGGGAACUGCGCUUGAUACUGGAUUGCUUGAGGACGGGAGAGGGUAGUGGAAUUCCCAGUGUAGAGGUGAAAUUCGUAGAUAUUGGGAAGAACACCAGUGGCGAAGGCGACUGCCUGGCCCGUUACUGACGCUGAGGCGCGAAAGCGUGGGGAGCAAACA